GACACUUUGGCCGAGUGGUUAAGGCGAUCGCCUGCUAUUUAUAGCAAUUUAAGCGGUUGGGGUUUCCCCGCGAGUGUUCGAAUCGCUCAGGUGUCG